CUUUAAACAGUCCCUCUGUGUCUCUGUGUGUGCUGAACAUCUAGAAUCAGAUUGAGUCAGGCUGCAUCAACUGAAUGUGUUAUAUGUAAUUAUCAGUAUUUUUUAAUUCAGGUGUGGGGAAAAUACGUAAGAUUACAGUGAAGAGAUGUACCAGAUUAAUCCCUGGCCAAAGUCCUCUGACAGACUGGUACCUGUCCAGGUGUGCUCUACCUAUGACUACUGGGACAGGCUCUAAUAGAAAGUUUCUAUUAUUCUCAUUUAAGAACAGUUCUCCACAGUCACUGUCCACAUGGGUCAGUGGGACCAAGAAGCACUCUGCUAAUGUGUGGACUCUGACCAGCAACAUCCAGCAAGACCCAGGCAGUGUUUUCUAUCUCCCUGCUGGAGUUUUUUGUUUGUGACAGGAGAGUCAGAUUUUUGUUGAGGCUGGAGGAACAGCCUCACACUUGCAGAGGUUAAUACAUGCUACUGAUCCCUGAUGGGAGAAUCUUCACCUCUGCCAACAAAGAAGCCUGGUGGAUGUUUGUUUGCAGUCUGAUGAUGGGACCUCAUGCUCUGCAUCUUCAAAGUUUGUCUCUUGCUUAUUAUUGAUACACAGUAAUGUGAAGUAUGCUUAUAUCUAGUAUAACUGGACCAACCUGGUGCUCUUCAUUUAUGGAGGCUGUUGAGUCUGAAUGUUGGAUAUUGUGUGUCUCGUGUUCUCUGGGCUUUGUUGUCCUCAGUCUUUUUGCAGGAUCAGAAAACAAAACCAGGAGGCACGUAAAUGUUUCUUCUCCAAUUGGAUGAUGAUAAGACUGUGACAUGGGAUGCCACCUUUAGUCUUGUGAUGAAGCAAAGCUCAGGAAGAAGUGUGAUUAAAUGGUACUCACAUGUGUGCUGCUGAGAAGGAUGUACAGGGGCACCUGCAGCCAAAUCCAAGCCUCCUCAGAGCAGAGCGGCCAUUUGUGCUCACAGAUGGUGACGGUGUGGAGAGACGGUGGUGUUUCCUCAGAAGAACUAGCAGAGUCACAAAGGGCACGAGUCCUUCUCACCACCUUGACCUGCUGACUGAUGCUCGUCUGCACUGCACAGAGGAAAUCAACUGACCGAGGAGUGUUUCUGAGUGAGGGAGAGAGGAGUCAUCAUCCAGGUAAAGUGACGUGGAUCAGUGGAUACUUGUCUCCCCUUUAAAGAAGAUACUCUUAGAAAGAGACGAUCCGAGUCAUCAUAAAAUAUGGGAAGCAUAUCAAUUUUGGACUGUCUAACCUGCCGGAGCAGCACUGAAUGACCACCACACAUGAGCAUGUUCCUGCAACAUUCAGCAGCUUUGCUUUUGUGUCAAACCAGCUGGAGAGGAAACUACACCAGUGUACUGGGAUGUUUCAGCAACACGUGCCAGAUGCUGUUCCUUCAUGGUGACAUCACCAGAGACAGCCCUGCCCACCUCAGGACCUCACCAUUGAUCAUGAUGAUUAUAAUAAUG